rnacentral:rRNA from 1 species
UACGUAGGCAGCAAGCGUUGUUCGGAGUUACUGGGCGUAAAGGGUGCGUAGGCGGCCCUGUAAGUAUGGUGUGAAAUCUCCCGGCUUAACUGGGAGGGUGCGCUAUAGACUGCGGGGCUCGAGUGUGGUAGAGGAAAGUGGAAUUCCUGGUGUAGCGGUGAAAUGCGUAGAUAUGAGGAGGAACACCAGUGGUGUAAACGGCUUUCUGGACCAUAACUGACUCUGAGGCACGAAAUCGUGGGUAGCAAACAUU